rnacentral:rRNA from 1 species
UGGACCCAGACUUUGAUUCUGGCUCAGGAUGAACGCUGGCGGCGUGCCUAAUACAUGCAAGUCGAACGAAACUUCUUUAUCACCGAGUGCUUGCACUCACCGAUAAAGAGUUGAGUGGCGAACGGGUGAGUAACACGUGGGCAACCUGCCCAAAAGAGGGGGAUAACACUUGGAAACAGGUGCUAAUACCGCAUAACCAUAGUUACCGCAUGGUAACUAUGUAAAAGGUGGCUAUGCUACCGCUUUUGGAUGGGCCCGCGGCGCAUUAGCUAGUUGGUGGGGUAAAGGCUUACCAAGGCAAUGAUGCGUAGCCGAACUGAGAGGUUGAUCGGCCACAUUGGGACUGAGACACGGCCCAAACUCCUACGGGAGGCAGCAGUAGGGAAUCUUCCACAAUGGGCGAAAGCCUGAUGGAGCAACGCCGCGUGGGUGAAGAAGGUCUUCGGAUCGUAAAACCCUGUUGUUAGAGAAGAAAGUGCGUGAGAGUAACUGUUCACGUUUCGACGGUAUCUAACCAGAAAGCCACGGCUAACUACGUGCCAGCAGCCGCGGUAAUACGUAGGUGGCAAGCGUUAUCCGGAUUUAUUGGGCGUAAAGGGAACGCAGGCGGUCUUUUAAGUCUGAUGUGAAAGCCUUCGGCUUAACCGGAGUAGUGCAUUGGAAACUGGGAGGCUUGAGUGCAGAAGAGGAGAGUGGAACUCCAUGUGUAGCGGUGAAAUGCGUAGAUAUAUGGAAGAACACCAGUGGCGAAAGCGGCUCUCUGGUCUGUAACUGACGCUGAGGUUCGAAAGCGUGGGUAGCAAACAGGAUUAGAUACCCUGGUAGUCCACGCCGUAAACGAUGAAUGCUAAGUGUUGGAGGGUCUCCGCCCUUCAGUGCUGCAGCUAACGCAAUAA